GGUGAUAACUGAGAAAGGGGCAGGUGUUACCAUGUACUUGAAUUGACCUAGAUGCAGUACAGAGCACCACUGGAUUUUAAAACAACCAAUUUUUAUGGCUCCAAAAAUAAUGUAAAAAUUCUAGGGAAAAAAUUAUAGAUAAUCCACUACUCAGAGAUCACAACUCUUAACCUUAGAGUUGCUCCUUUUAGCUUUAUUUUUCUUCUGCAAAUGUCUGUGUAUUUAUUUACAUUUUCUUUUAUAGACUCGGAUCAUUAUAUAUAUAAACAUAAAAAUAUAGUUUCGGAUCCUAUUUUAGCACUAAUUAUAUCUUCCGAGACACUCAAAUUUUUUCCCUUUGUUAAACUAGUGAUACAUCCUUAUUUAUAAAAUUAGAAAAUACCAAAAUGCACAAAAAAAGAAAAAAUCAUGAUGCUACCAUCCAAUAUGACUCUUGGCAGCCCUUUCCACAUAUUAAUUAUAACCGAAGCUUACCCUAUUCUGAUCCUUACUUUCAAUCUAUCUGCAAUACGGGGGCAGAUAGCCUUCUGGCAUAUUGUUAUCCACGAGAGCCUCAUUUCUGACACCCUUCCACCCCUCAGCAAUUUUUUGAAGUUUGGAGUGACCCUGACAUCCUUCAGCUUUUAGCACUCUCUCCUUACCUUCUGAGCUGUUCUUCACUCUGUGGCCAGAGUCUGUCUUGCCUUUGGUGGGUAGGGCACUGGAGUGCCUAAGGAUUAAUGAACUGUCUCUGUCUUUUUAUCCACCUGGUUUUCCUUUUAGCCACCUGGCAGUGGUAGAUUGGUAAAACCGGAGGGAAAGUUCUGUCAGUUUGCAGACCAAGUGUGGGACGUGCCCAGAUACUGAGUCAUUGCUUUGUCAGUGUUAUCUAACUAUUGGCCUGAAGACUGGCACCAGCUCACCUAUUUAUUAUUAAAGAGCUUUCAUCCUUAUAUAUAAACUCAAUUGUGCUAGGUAAGAUGAAUGAAUAGAUAACAGUGUCACCAACGUACUUCCUGUUUUAUUUCAGUGAUAAAUUUAUACAAUAUAUUUCUAUAUAAUUUUGUAAUCUUUACUAAGGAACUUUAAAUAAUUUAAAUGGCUCAUACACAGUAAAGAACUUAGAUAUUUUAGAGGUCUGAUUUGGGGGUUGAGAAAAACUGCUAAGACUGGUGGUCACAGUCAGCAUGGUGGCUCACGCCUGUAAUCCCAGCACUUUGGGAGGCCGAGGCAGGUGGAUCAUGAGGUCAGGAGUUCAAGAUCAGCCUGGCCAACAUGGUGAAACCCCGUCUCUACUCAAAAUACAAAAGUUAGCCAGGCAUGGUGGCAUGCGCCUGUAAUUGCAGCUACUUGGGAGGCUGAGGCAGGAGAAUGGCUUGAACCUGGGAGGCGGAGGUUGUGGUGAGCUGAGAUUGCACCACUGCACUCCAGCCUGGGCAACAGAGAGAGACUCUGUCUCAAAAAAAAAAAAAGAAAAGCCAAAAAACUGGUGGUCACAGGGUCUUACUCUAUUCAUAUCUUCCCACAGGAUGCAGUUUGUAUUACCCAAGUAAGUCUCAAUUAGAAUGAAAUAGGCCUUUUCCCCACCAGCUGUAGGUUUGUAAGCUGUAAGCUACUUUUAAGCUGGCCUCCUUCAGGCAUUCAUGCAAAAAUGACAUCUAUUGUAAUCAUUAGCAGGACUUUGGGGAAUAAGACAUAGAAGCCUCAUGUAGCUUAUUCGUAGGGCUCUAUUAGGGCUGCAUUUACCACCUUUCCACUCCUGUGUGGACCCUGGCAGAUGCUUGGAGACAUUUGUUCAUCUGCUGUUUAUCUAGAUCACUUCAGCAUCGGUGAGGUUGGUCUCUCAAGAACCCAAAGCUCUGGUCAGUGAAUGGAAGGAGCCUCAGGCCAAGAACAUCAGUGUGGCCUCCUGCAAUAGCAGCCAGGUGGUGGUGGCUGUGGGCAGGGCCCUCUACUAUCUGCAGAUCCAUCCUCAGGAGCUCCGGCAGAUCAGCCACACAGAGAUGGAACAUGAAGUGGCUUGCUUGGACAUCACCCCAUUAGGAGACAGCAAUGGACUGUCCCCUCUUUGUGCCAUUGGCCUCUGGACGGACAUCUCGGCUCGUAUCUUGAAGUUGCCCUCUUUUGAACUACUGCACAAGGAGAUGCUGGGUGGAGGUAUGUGUCAUUUAGGGACCUGGGUUGGGACAGAGUCAAAAUGUGGAACAAGAACAUAAUGUCCCCCUUUCUCACAGAGAUCAUUCCUCGCUCCAUCCUGAUGACCACCUUUGAGAGUAGCCAUUACCUCCUUUGUGCCUUGGGAGAUGGAGCGCUUUUCUACUUUGGGCUCAACAUUGAGACAGGUCUGUUGAGCGACCGUAAGAAGGUGACUUUGGGCACCCAGCCCACCGUAUUGAGGACUUUUCGUUCUCUUUCUACCACCAACGUCUUUGCUUGUUCUGACCGCCCCACUGUCAUCUAUAGCAGCAACCACAAAUUGGUCUUCUCAAAUGUCAACCUCAAGGAAGUGAACUACAUGUGUCCCCUCAAUUCAGAUGGCUAUCCUGACAGCCUGGCGCUGGCCAACAAUAGCACCCUCACCAUUGGCACCAUCGAUGAGAUCCAGAAGCUGCACAUUCGCACAGUUCCCCUCUAUGAGUCUCCAAGGAAGAUCUGCUACCAGGAAGUGUCCCAGUGUUUCGGGGUCCUCUCCAGCCGCAUUGAAGUCCAAGACACGAGUGGGGGCACGACAGCCUUGAGGCCCAGCGCUAGCACCCAGGCUCUGUCCAGCAGUGUCAGCUCCAGCAAGCUGUUCUCCAGCAGCACUGCUCCUCAUGAGACCUCCUUUGGAGAAGAGGUGGAGGUGCACAACCUACUUAUCAUUGACCAACACACCUUUGAA
rnacentral:sRNA from 1 species